GUGGGGAAUAUUGCGCAAUGGGCGAAAGCCUGACGCAGCGACGCCGCGUGAGCGAUGAAGGCCUUAGGGUUGUAAAGCUCUUUCGUGGGGGAAGAUAAUGACUGUACCCCAAGAAGAAGCCCCGGCUAACUCCGUGCCAGCAGCCGCGGUAAUACGGAGGGGGCUAGCGUUGUUCGGAAUUACUGGGCGUAAAGCGCACGUAGGCGGACUGGAAAGUCAGGGGUGAAAUCCCGGGGCUCAACCUCGGAACUGCCUUUGAUACUGGGUGUCUUGAGUAUGAGAGAGGUGUGUGGAACUCCGAGUGUAGAGGUGAAAUUCGUAGAUAUUCGGAAGAACACCAGUGGCGAAGGCGACACACUGGCCCAUUACUGACGCUGAGGCGCGAAAGCGUGGGGAGCAAACAGGAUUAGAAACCCUAGUAGUCC
rnacentral:rRNA from 1 species